GAGAGAGAAUCAGCAAAUGUCAGAUAAUGUUCUUUCGAAAAAUCAUUCUUGUUUUAUACAAAUACAGACUAUUUUAAAUCGAAAAAAAUUAAUAAAUUUCAUAAAUUUACGCACCAGAAUCAAACUAUGACGCUAGAGCAAAGUUCGCCGGAAGCAAAGCCAAAACAAGAAUUAACGCUACUACAAAAGAUAACAUUCUUCUUCAUUGGCAUCUCGUCGGCUUUCACCAUUUACGCUUUGAUACGGGUGUCGAACGAUUUGCUUUUUGAACCAAAGCCGAAGCUUGUACAGCAUGGACUGGCAAGCCUAAGCGAAGAAAACACACAAUUGUAAUAUUUUUAUGCAACUCUGAGUUUAUUUUCCACACAAAAAUCAAAACCUGUUCGUAGUUAUGCUUGAUUUAGAACGAAAUGCAGCACGGAGCAAUAGGCGCGAAGUUAUCUACGAGUUCUUAAUGCGUGCCAAUGAUUGUGUGGAUUUUCGGUUUCGCAUUGACGGGGUUAAUAGUUGUGAGUCUUAUUAUAAUCGCCUUAUGGCUAAUAAGAUUUAUGGAUACUUUAUUCGGAAAAAAUGUGGAUCCUGAGUCUUUUGCUUUGAUUGAUUGAUUAAAUUGAUAUCAUAUAGUAUUCAUUAUGUUUAAAUCGUUGAAAUAUAUGUACAUAUUUAAAAAUGGAA